UACGUAGGGGGCAAGCGUUGUCCGGAUUUAUUGGGCGUAAAGAGCGUGUAGGCGGCCAGGUAGGUCUGCUGUGAAAACUCGAGGCUUAACCUCGAGCUGUCGGCGGAAACCAUCUGGCUAGAGUCCGGAAGAGGAGAAUGGAAUUCCCGGUGUAGCGGUGAAAUGCGCAGAUAUCUGGAGGAACACCGGUGGCGAAGGCGGCAUCCUGGACCGGUAUUGACGCUGAGGCGCGAAAGCUAGGGGAGCAAACGGG
rnacentral:rRNA from 1 species